CGGCAAAGUGUCCACCCACAGUUUCUUCACCGAAUCGCUACGUUCCUGGGCAUGAAGAGUUACAACAGCGCGUAUGUUUAACAACGAGGAAACCGGAUAAUCAGACCCAGUUCUGUUAUUUAUACAUGUAACGGACACCACCACAUCAUAAACGUGGCUCUGUGAGUCAAAACCCAUUACCAAGGAAAUAGUUGGUUAUGGUGUCGGAUCCUCAUUGGGGUGAACGAGAAGAUGUUCAGAAGAAAACCUUCACAAAAUGGAUGAAUUCACAGUUUGCUAAGGAGGAGCCUGGUGAUUUGUCGAGGGGUGCCGGAGGAGUAUCACGAUCUGCGGACGGUGUUCUGUCGGUCCCGGGCCACUUCCCUCCCUCCGCAUAGUUCGUAUGAUUGUAGUAUUGAACUUUGUCCGGGAACCACU